AUCACUUCUCGGCCUUUUGGCUAAGAUCAAGUGGAGUAUCUGCUCUUAUCAGUUUAAAAAAAGGAAGAAAAGAGCUUACACAGAGAACGAUAACAGUGGAGGGUCCCUGUGAAGACAGAUGGAAUGUGUCACCUCUU
ensembl:snRNA U2 U2 spliceosomal RNA